CAGAUUUUAUGAAAGAUGUACCAAGGGUUCCAAAGUGCAUUUCGAGGUGGGGAUCGACCACCAAUCACUUCCUUAUGGGUUCCGAAAUGAAAUUAUAGACCCUAGGUGAUAAGAUGGGGGUCCUGGAAGAAAUAGGAUGAGAUGUACCAAAUUUUGUGAAAAAUGUAUCAAAUUUUGUGAAUAAUGUAUCAAGGGUUCCAAAGUGCGUUCUGAGGUGGGGAUCGACUCCCAAUCACUUUCUUAUUGGUUCCAAAAUGAAAUUAUGGACCAUGAGUUAUAAAAUGGGAGUCUCGACAACAAUAGGAUCGGAUGUACCAAAUUUUGUGAAGAAUGUACCAAAUUUUCCAAAGCAUGUUUCGAGGUGGGGAUCAGCCACGAAUCACUUCCUUAUGGGUUUCCAAAUGAAAUUAUGGACCCUAGGUGAUAAGAUGGGGGUCCCGAAAGCAAUAGGAUGGGAUAUACCAAAUUUUACAAAGGAUGUACCAAAUUUUUUUUAAGGAUGUACCAAGGGUUCCAAGGUGCUUUCUUAGGUGGGGAUUGACCCCCAAUCACUUUCUUAUGGGUUUCAAAAUGAAAUUAUGGACCAUAAGUGAUAAGAUGGGGGUCCCAACAAUAAUAAGAUCGAAUGUACCUUAGAUUUUUUUAACCGUGUUUCUUAGUAACUUGAUGAAAGUUAUGUACAUUUUUUAAAGUUAAUCCGAGACCUCAUGGCCUCUUACUUUAAUCUAUCUAUUCUUUUGAGAAAUUGACAUACAUCUAUUGUUUUACACACACACACACACACACACAUAUUCCUUACAAAAAGAUGCACUUCAUUCAUAUAAUAAGCAUAAAUUAUUUUAAUCCCUUAUGUCGACCUCAUUAGGUAUUUAAUUGCUUACAUAAAUAUUCGUAAUUAACCCUACCAAAACUAAUUACCUAUAACAAUAGUCUUAUUCACACCUAUAACCAUCAGAUAUUAAUGCCUCAUGUAAAUUAUGAACAAUUCAACUCAACUUCAAUAACACUUCAUGUUAUGACAUUAAUGUGCUAAAUAUUAGAACAUAUGGUCUCUACCAAACAUCAGAUAAUGCAUUACUUUUAUUUAUUUAUUUAUAUGGUGGCCACUUAUUUGAUAUGAUCGUCAAGGGCCAACCUUUCUAGCUUUGGGCAUGUCUCCAUUUGUCUUACUGCCCAACCCACAUAUCAAAUAUAAUCACUUUAAAGGCAUGCCAUAGACAUAAGAGGCAUGCUUAUCUUUUCUACUGCACAUAGCAUAACAAAUUUAAGUUUUCACCCACAUUCAUGCAUCUUGCAUGAGGAGUGCACCCCUAGUUUGACUAUUGCACAUAGCCUACCAAUAUAAUGUCUUCACCAAUAAGCAUGCCUCUUAAAUAAAUGGUGCACCCCUAGUUUGUGUAUUGUAUAUAGCAUACCAAAAUAAUGUUAUCAUACCCAUGGCAUGCCUUUGCAACAAAGGGUGUGCCCCUGGUUUGCCUUUUGCAUAUAGCAUACUAGUAUAAUGCCUUCGCACAUAGGCAUGCCUUUGAAAUGAAGGGUGUGCCCUUAGAUUGACUUCUAAAUAUACCAUAGUAAACUAAUGUUAUUAUUAUUUUUAAAACAAAUUCCAUUGCUUCUAAGGGUACAAUGUCCACAUUCGAAUGCCUUCCUAUUAAACAAUAAGUCAACCUUCCUUUUACCAACUACCCACAUAACACAAAACUAAAGGGUCGACCCUUAUUUUUGCUACUAACCACUUCAAACAAAACUAAUAAUAUGAUCAAGGGUUAUCAACCAUAAAACAGCAACCCCGCAUGUAUAGGUUAGUCACUAUUAUGCCCACUGGUUAACAAUCUUUUGUCUUUUAUUUUUAUUUUUUCCGAAAAGCUCUUGGGUGAAGUUUUUCACUUGAUUCCAACUAUUGUGCUAGUGCAUUUGUUUUCUAAAGAUCCCAAGUGUAGCAACCAGUGCUUCAUUGGUCACUUCUCUUAAGCUCUUCAAUUAGCUUACUCUUUUCCUUUAUAGUAGCCUUAAGUGCUUCAAGGCUAACACCCUCGAUUUCAUGGACAUAGUUUGCCUCCACCUUUGCAGUUCAUUUACUUAAAAACGUCAUAACAAUGAACCUCUUGUUGAAUCCUUCAACAUCAAUGGUUGUGAUAAUGGACACUUGUAUAUAAAUGAAUCCAUUGUUUUGGAAGAAGGCGUGAGUUGCAUGAUUAAGGGCAUUGCGGGUUCGCAUAAUGAAUGCCACCUGCAAGUUUUAAAGUAGAAAUUAAAACAAAAUGACCUAAUUAAUUUGUAGUCAAAGCAUUUAUCAUGGAUUUAGAUAAGAAGCUGGAUGGAACAAAAAGAUUAAUUAUGGUUGUUGCUUAUGGCUAUGUCAUUGACAAUUAAGAAGG
rnacentral:lncRNA from 1 species